ACACGACUACAUUAGAUACCCCGGUAGUCCUAGCCGUAAACGAUACUCGCUAGGUGUCGGCCACGGUGCGACCGUUGUCGGUGCCGUAGGGAAGCUGUGAAGCGAGCCACCUGGGAAGUACGGCCGCAAGGCUGAAACUUAAAGGAAUUGGCGGGGGAGCACCACAACGGGUGGAGCUUGCGGUUUAAUUGGAUUCAACGCCGGAAAUCUUACCGGGACCGACAGCAACAUGAAGGCCAGGCUGAAGACUUUGCCGGAUUAGCUG
rnacentral:rRNA from 1 species